UCGGAUCCCUUGUUGCAUCAGAGGGUAAAGCCAAGCACUGAUUUUUUUGUUACAGUCCUCAGGUGAUUGUAAUAUGUAGUGGGGGGCUUGGAAACCUCGCCCCUCCUCUGCUUCUUCCACUUAGCGCGGCAUCCUCUUCCUGCUCUCUCUGUCUGCCUGCCUGCCCAAAGGGGCCAUACGGUCAGCUCCCGGGCCAUGGGGUAGACAGCAUGGUUGCUUCUUCCAGCAAGAGUGCCAAGAGUGUUGUGGUGGUCCAGAGCUGCUGGUGGAAUUCCAGGACCAGGAUGAAAGGAAGUCCCCACAAAGGAGAGGCCAACUAUGCAUCUGUUUUCUUUCAAAAUGACCAUUCAAGUAAAUUGGUAAUAUUUUUCUGGAAAAUAAUUACCCGUGUAUAUGAAAAUAUGAAAAGGCUGCCAAUUGUGGGGCGUUCAAAAUAAACCCCUGGGGUAGGAAAAAAUAUUCAAAUGUCCAUUGAAAACUUCAAAAUUAAUUUUUUGCCUGUUUUGUUAUGUAGAUAUAUAAAUUCAAAUUCAUUUGUAUUUAUAAAUACCAUAAAUACAAUAUAAUGAAGGAUAUAUUUGAUAUACAUUUUAUAUAUUAGAGUAAUAAUGUAUAUAAUUUGUAAGUAAUUCAAUAUAUAUGGGUCGGGGAUGGUUUAUAAUAAUAUUGAGGUGUUGUAAAAUUGGGUUGUAAUGAUGGUUGCACAACUAAGAAGAAAAAUAGCUAAGAAUAAAAAAUAAUGAUGAUAAUAUUGAGGGAUUGCUUAGCCAUACCUGGGAAAAGCCUUUAAUUUCUUUAUAUUCUUUGACCCAGCAAUUUAACUUCUUGGAAUGUAUUCAAUCUAUCCCAAAGAAAGAACUUGCGUGUGUAUAAAUAUUUCACUACAGGGAUAUUUUUCCAGAAGCUUGUGAGCAUUGAAAA